GUUCCCUUAGCUCAGGGGCAGAGCGGGUGACUCCAGUCGGGCGACUCGCCCAGCGAAAUCAUCAGGUCAAGCGUUCAAAUCGCUUAGGGGACU